GUCGCAACCCGUUUACAUGAAGUGCAUCACAGCUGUUUCCUACUCUCGUUUUUACACCGAGGCGAUCUCCAGUAGCAAUCGCCUAAUGCAAUGAUCCGGGGAAGAAAACUAAACGACGUCAUCAGCUUAGAACAGCUGCUCUGCGCCAUACCCGGAGCUCAGGGGUCCCCAGCACGGAGCAAAGAGCUCUGAGCAAAGCGACUUCCAUGGCUGUGCCAACGUCAAGGGUGCCUAAAUGUCCCUGUUUAUCAGAAACCACCCGAGUCUUCUUGGGGACGACUCCCCCAGGACUCAUCCCAUCAGAGCCAGAAGGGCCGUGUUUAGAAGGACCGUUUCUGCUAAUAGAAUCAGGUACAAAAUCUCCUGUGGGACUCUGAUGGAAAAAUACAAUGCAUGCAAUGCAGGUGCUUUACAUUGGAAGUUAUUACAGGGGAAGGCAAAGACAAUGCAAAGAUCAGAGCAGAGAGGAGAGUUAAAAUGACCCCCAAAACAAGAAGAUUGUCCCUUGGAGGGAAGGUGAGGGUCCAGGUGGGGAGGGUCUGCACGCCCGCAGGCAUCUCAUCAUUCCUACAGCCACAUCAACACAAACGUGCUUCGCUGUACUGGGUGGGUUGGUGGCACAGCACUGACUUUGGAAUCGAUAGCUCCGGAUUCUGGGAUAAAGCAGCACACCUUACAGAGGGAAAGGCAGAUUCCUCCCAGCUGAAAUGAGAAUGCAUGCAUUCCUUAAGGGUUGGGUAGUCCUAUUUGUUUCCAAGGAUGUGCUAUAGAACUAAAUCGUACAUCGAGGAGGGGCAAACAAGAACAGGAGCUGCUAGCAGGAGCCUCAGCCAGAGGAAGGCAUCCUCAGUGCCAGCAGCCUCAGCUGCACCCCAUAGCACAGGAGCUCCAACUGCAGCCCGUUCCCAUGGCACCCCGAGCCCUGGGACAAUGGGAGCACCGGGAACCGAGAGCAGCUCUAGGAAGGAUCAGAGCCCAGGGCUCCGAGCAGACAGGAUAUCUACAGCUCUGGGCACUGAGCAAACCCGAACUGCUCCCAGAGACUCAGAAAUCAUGACAGGAUGCUGACAUUACAGGAACUCCACUGCGGGGUUACCUCGAAGAGGCUGGAACAGAUCCUGCUCGAGUCCAAGGCAGUGUCAGACUGCAGUGCCCAGAGAGGCUCAGUACCACAUAUGGAGCCUACAAUCAGUUUUUUGCCUUAAGUCACAGAUAAGUGAACUCCACUGAAGCCACAGCACUCAUUUCAACAGCAGAUCUUUGCCCAGUUUAAAUACACGUUCACAGCAUAGGGCAGGGGGGAAACAUGCUGAGCCUUUCAGCUCUUUAAGAAAAUGGAUUCCUGGGAACAAACAGAUUUGCUAGGAAAGGGUUUCACACUCUCCAGAAAGCCAGCUGCUCCAAGGCACUGCUGCACUGAGCACAAGAUUAACAGCGUUAAGCUGGCAGGCGUUGCACUGACUCCUGCUGUGGUGCCAGGGAUGCACACCGUUCGCCUUGCAUUUCGCCUUGGCUGAUUUGAGCCCCAGAGCAGCAUUCCCAGGUGGAUAACAAUCAGGAACUUUGCUAGGAAUUUUGCUACAAGAGAAGCAGCAGUUUCAAUAUCUGGUUGUCUCAGUACGUUUUCCCCCAGAAACUGUGCUCCAAACCCUUGCCCUGCUAUGUGCUGGCUGACAACAUGCAGGCUCCACAUCUGCGCGGUGCCUGCCGUGCUCGGGGGAAGCCUAACAAGCACCACAAGCUCUUAACUCUUCAGGCUGCAGGCUGAACAUGUCAGCUACAGGAAACCACGCGGAGGGGCCACGCUGAAGGGGCAGGCAGGAAAUCUGAGCCCCGUCUGUGGGCUGCGCUGAGCUGAGUGAGGACGGAAGUCCCACAGCUGCACACAGCUCCUGGUGGGGACUGUGUCAAUAGGCAGGUAAAGGCAGAUGGGGAGCACGUGGAGCUCUACAAUACUUCUGUUCAAGCAUGGGAAGUCCUUGACAGUUGUGCAACUCCCUUCAGCGUUACUUUUAUUAAUAAAGUUUCUAAAGUCUCAUA
ensembl:lncRNA